GACAGAGGGGGCAAGCGUUGCUCGGAAUUACUGGGCGUAAAGGGCGCGUAGGCGGGAUGGCAAGUCGGUCGUGAAAUCCCUCGGCUCAACCGAGGAACGUCGAUCGAUACUGCUGUUCUUGAGGAUUGCAGAGGAGACUGGGAAUUCCCGGAUGGUAGCGGUGAAAUGUGUAGAGAUCGGGGAGGAACACCGGUGGCGAAGGCGGGU
rnacentral:rRNA from 1 species